GCCCGGGUGGUGAAAUUGGUAGACACGUACGCUUCAGGAGCGUAUGCCGCAAGGCUUGGAGGUUCGAACCCUCUCUCGGGCA
rnacentral:tRNA from 1 species